AGCUUCGGGCCAUUGUAGUGACCUUGUCCUACAGUCUCCAGACCCCUCGGCUCCGGCGACAGGCUCCUGGCCAGGGGCUGCCUCCAGUGGCCCCCAUCCUCAAUGCCCACCAGCCCAGCACCCAGCGGGCAGAGAUCCACUUCCUGAAGCAAGGCUGUGGUGAAGACAAGAUCUGCCAGAGCAAUCUGCAGCUGGUCCGCGCCCGCUUCUGUACCCGGGUCAGCGACACGGAAUUCCAACCUCUGCCCAUGUGAGGGGGGCAGAGAGCAGGGUGGGGGUGGGAGGGCAAGAGUUCAAGGAUUGAGAGAAAGCCCUCUCAGGAGGACCAGUCAGAGGGAAGGGCUGAGCCUGCAGAAAAGGCAGAAGGUGGAAGAGGACCUGCCGAUGGACUUGGAGACUGAGAUGAGGGUCAGUGAUGGGGCCACGGGGGCUCCCAUGGCAAGGAAUAGCAAUCCUUCACAGUACACUAAUAAUAUGCAGUCUACAUACAUCUCAUUGGUUAGUCUUCAAACCUCUGUGAGGUAGGAAUUAUAUUAGUCUCAUUUUAUAGAUGGAGAACUGAAGCCUAGAGAGGUUAAGUUACUUGGCCAAGGUAAGUAAUGGUGGAGCUGAGAUGAGAACGGAGGUCCCCUGACUCCCAGUCGUGUGUACAGAGGCCUGAGGCUUGGACGGGUGUGAUGGGGACCUGGGGUGGGAAGAGAGGCUCAGGGAGUGAAGGCAGGUACUGGGGGAGCAGACUGGGCGGGGGAAUGGUAGGGGGAGGUGUUCAGAACUUAGCAGGAGUGGGGUCUGACUCUCCAGGGAUGUGGAUGGAACAACAGCCCUGUUUGCACUGAGUGGGCAGCCAGUCAUUGGCCUGGAGCUGAUGGUCACCAACCUGCCAUCGGACCCAGCCCAGCCCCAGGCUGAUGGGGAUGAUGCCCAUGAAGCCCAGCUCCUGGUCAUGCUUCCUGACUCACUGCACUACUCAGGGGUCCGGGCCCUGGACCCUGCGGAGAAGCCACUCUGCCUGUCCAAUGAGAAUGCCUCCCAUGUUGAGU
rnacentral:lncRNA from 1 species